ACGCUCGACACCUACGGGAGGCAGCAGUGGGGAAUAUUGCACAAUGGGGGAAACCCUGAUGCAGCGACGCCGCGUGAGCGAAGAAGUAUUUCGGUAUGUAAAGCUCUAUCAGCAGGGAANAAAAUGACGGUACCUGACUAAGAAGCCCCGGCUAACUACGUGUCAGCAGCCGCGGUAAUCUGAGCGGGCUGGCAAGGC
rnacentral:rRNA from 1 species